rnacentral:rRNA from 1 species
CCGUUUCGGCGACGGCGCCCCCGGAGAUCAUCAAACACUGCAUCUUUGCGUCGGAGUCUUAAAGUAAAUUUAAACAAAACUUUCAACAACGGAUCUCUUGGUUCUGGCAUCGAUGAAGAACGCAGCGAAAUGCGAUAAGUAAUGUGAAUUGCAGAAUU